GGUCCUGUAUAAUGUGUUGUAGUAGAGUUGCGUUAGCCAGCAUGUAGUUGAGUAGUUGACUGUGUGUUUACCGUGAGGUCCUGUAUAACGUGUUGUAGUAGAGUUGCGUUUGCCAGCAUGUAGUUGUAGUUGACUGUGUGUGUUUACCGUGAGGUCCUGUAUAACGUGUUGUAGUAGAGUUGCGUUAGCCAGCAUGUAGUUGAGUAGUUGACUGUGUGUUUACCGUGAGGUCCUGUAUAAUGUGUAGUAGAGUUGCAUUAGCCAGCAUGUAGUUGUAGUUGACUGUGUGUGUUUACCGUGAGGUCCUGUAUAAUGUGUAGUAGAGUUGCAUUAGCCAGCAUGUGGUUGUAGUUGACUGUGUGUGUUUACCGUGAGGUCCUGUACAAUGUGUUGUAGUAGAGUUGCGUUUGCCAGCAUGUGGUUGAGUAGUUGACUGUGUGUGUUUACCGUGAGGUCCUGUAUAAUGUGUAGUAGAGUUGCAUUAGCCAGCAUAUGGUUGUAGUUGACUGUGUGUGUUUACCGUGAGGUCCUGUAUAAUGUGUAGUAGAGUUGCAUUAGCCAGCAUAUGGUUGUAGUUGACUGUGUGUUUACCGUGAGGUCCUGUAUAAUGUGUAGUAGAGUUGCGUUUGCUAGCAUGUGGUUGAGUAGUUGACUGUGUGUGUUUACCGUGAGGUCCUGUAUAAUGUGUAGUAGAGUUGCAUUAGCCAGCAUAUGGUUGUAGUUGACUGUGUGUUUACCGUGAGGUCCUGUAUAAUGUGUAGUAGAGUUGCAUUAGCCAGCAUAUGGUUGUAGUUGACUGUGUGUUUACCGUGAGGUCCUGUAUAAUGUGUAGUAGAGUUGCAUUAGCCAGCAUGUAGUUGUAGUUGACUGUGUGUGUUUACCGUGAGGUCCUGUAUAAUGUGUAGUAGAGUUGCAUUAGCCAGCAUGUGGUUGUAGUUGACUGUGUGUGUUUACCGUGAGGUCCUGUACAAUGUGUUGUAGUAGAGUCGCGUUUGCCAGCAUGUGGUUGAGUAGAUGACUGUGUGUUUAACGUGAGGUCCUGUAUAAUGUGUAGUAGAGUUGCAUUAGCCAGCAUGUGGUUGUAGUUGACUGUGUGUGUUUACCGUGAGGUCCUGUAUAAUGUGUUGUAGUAGAGUUGCGUUAGCCAGCAUGUAGUUGACUGUGUGUGUUUACCGUGAGGUCCUGUAUAAUGUGUUGUAGUAGAGUUGCGUUAGCCAGCAUGUAGUUGACUGUGUGUGUUUACCGUGAGGUCCUGUAUAAUGUGUUGUAGUAGAGUUGCGUUAGCCAGCAUGUAGUUGACUGUGUG